UACGGAGGAUGCAAGCGUUAUCCGGAAUGAUUGGGCGUAAAGCGUCCGCAGGUGGCAAUGUAAGUCUGCUGACAAAGCGUCUGGCUCAACCAGAUAAAGGCAGUGGAAACUACAUAGCUAGAGUAAGGUAGGGGUAGAGGGAAUUCCUGGUGUAGCGGUGAAAUGCGUAGAGAUCCGGAGGAACACCGACGGCGUAGGCAGCGCCCUGGACGACACCUGACGCUGAGGCACGAAAGCUGGGGGAGCGAACAGG
rnacentral:rRNA from 1 species